GAUCAUGGCUCAGAUUGAACGCUGGCGGCAUGCCUUACACAUGCAAGUCGAACGGUAACAGGUCUUCGGACGCUGACGAGUGGCGAACGGGUGAGUAAUACAUCGGAACGUGCCCAGUCGUGGGGGAUAACUACUCGAAAGAGUAGCUAAUACCGCAUACGAUCUGAGGAUGAAAGCGGGGGGACCUUCGGCCGUCGCGCGAUUGGAGCGGCCGAUGGCAGAUUAGGUAGUUGGUGGGAUAAAG
rnacentral:rRNA from 1 species